rnacentral:lncRNA from 1 species
AAUUGGCCCCGAGGCUGAUGGCUCCGGAAACACCAAUUCGCUGUCUCCACGCAUGAGGAGACGUGUAGGGGCCGGGUUCGGCCCUGGUGAACUCUCACCCGAGCGGUUUCUCUUUCCGGGACAACAUGGCGCCGUCCACGCCGCUCUUGACAGUCCGAGGAUCAGAAGGACUGUACAUGGUGAAUGGACCACCACAUUUUACAGAAAGCACAGUGUUUCCAAGGGAAUCUGGGAAGAAUUGCAAAGUCUGUAUCUUUAGUAAGGAUGGGACCUUGUUUGCCUGGGGCAAUGGAGAAAAGUUAGUGUUCAUUUACAUAACAUAUUUUGUGUGUCACGAAUAUAAACACAACUGGCAUUAUUUGAAUAACAGAUAUUUGAGUGUCAUUAAUAAAAUCCGUCUUUUAAUGUCAUGAUGUAGUGAGAUAUUACCUCUCGUUACACAAAAUACCUUCAAAGUUGUUCAUUUCUAUGUAUAUGCCAUGACUUGUUUAUCUAGUUACUUAGAAUUAAAAAUUAAUAUAUGAAAAAUAUAAUUUAAUGCUAAAGAAGUUGAGUUGUUUUAAAC